rnacentral:lncRNA from 1 species
AAAAGAAAAGGUAAAAGAAAAAGAAAAGGUAAAAGAAAAAGAAAAAAACAACAAAAGUGGUAACUACAAUGGGUUUCGUUCCUAUGACGAGUAUUAUGACCAUGAUUAUUAUUAUUAUGAUGAUGAUAAUAAUAAUAUAUAUACUACUACAGGUACUUCUUCUACUGUUGUUGGUACUACUACGACUACUAACUCUUAUCUAAUUAAAGUAAUGCAAACUAUGGAUAUGUUUUUUAAAAAUUUAAAAAAUAAUACUUUUAUUUUUAAAACGAACAAAUAUGAAGAAAACAUAAAUUUAACAAAAAAAUGCAAAAACAAAAUUAGUGAUGAUGUUAAUGAAAUUAUGAUUGUUCAAAAUAUAGAGGUACCAAAUUGGUUAAAUAUUAAUGGUCAUGUUCGAAGUGGAAAACUACAACAUAUUAAUAGAGAUAGUUACCGUUAUGGUUAUGGUUAUGGUUAUGGUUAUGAUUAUGAUAUACCAAUGAUGGAUCAGAAUAGUGAUGUGAGCUUUAAUACUAGUCACAGUAGCGGUUGUAGUGGUGGCAGUGGCAGUGGCAGUGGCAGUGGUAGUGGUAGUGUUAGUAUUAGUGGUAGUGGUAGUAUUAGUGGUAGUGGUAGUGGUAGUGUUAGUAUUAGUGGUAGUGGUAGUGAUGGUAGUGCCAACCUGUCACCAAACAAAAAUAGAGAUACUUCAAAAGAAAGCGUAAAACAAAACGAACCGCAUGAACGAGCAAAAAAAAUAAACGAAAGUAAUAGUAACAUUAUAAACCCAAUUUUGUUGAGUGACCAAUUAUAUAAGAAAUACCCAUUUAGUAUUAUGAACAAAGUAAAUAUGAACAUAGUAAAGUAUUUUUAUUUUGAUAAUUUUUAUAAUGUUACUAAAUCAGUAUUAUUUUAUCAACCAGAAAUAGUUAAUUUCCCUAAUCACAUAAUUAAAGUGUAUUGCUUAAAAAAAUUGAAUGAGAUAAAUUUCACACAUGUUCGUUAUAAACGAAUAUUAAAUAAUUUGUACCAUAAGAAAAUGCAUAUGAAGAAAUUUAAGAUAUUAAAAAAUAUAUAUAAAUAUAAUAUAAAUAAAUGUUUUGUUAAUUAUAAUAAAUAUAUAAUAAUAAAAAAAAGAAAAAAAUUAAAAAAAUUUUCUUUUAUUAUAAAAUAUUUCCCUAUAUAUAAAAUUUAUCAAUUUUGGUUUACAAUAUACUGUCAAAACCAAUUAAAAUUAUUAUUUUAUAAAAAUAUGCAUUUUAUAAUUAAUUUACAUAAUAUGCGUAUAAUUGAUUUCAAAUUGAUACAUAACUAUAUAUUAAAUAGUAUAUAUGAAAAUAUAACAG